GAUAUAAUCCUUCCCAAAUAUUCUUUUACUAACUCAAACAACAUUACAUAGUUUUUUUAUAGGUUGAUAAUAAGAUUAUUUGAUAGGUUGAUCAAAAUAAGAGAAUAAUUGAAUUUGCCAUCCUCUCUUGACCGUCUUUCAAACCUUUGUACCAUUUGACUUUGACUCUCUCUUUCUGAAAUCUCUCUCUCAUUCUCUUUCUUUUGGGCUCCUUCUUCUCUCUACUUUUCUCCACUUUAAUAUUUUCCUUUAUUUUUUGAAAUAAGAAAACAAAAAUAUGGAACGAAUAAUUUUCCCUCCCUCCAUC